UCCGUAGGUGAACCUGCGAAAGGAUCAUA
rnacentral:rRNA from 1 species